CCUACGGGAGGCAGCAGUGGGGAAUAUUGGACAAUGGGGGCAACCCUGAUCCAGCCAUGCCGCGUGUGUGAAGAAGGCCCUCGGGUUAUAAAGCACUUUCAGUGAGGAAGAACGCCUGGUGGUUAAUACCCAUCAGGAAAGACAUCACUCACAGAAGAAGCACCGGCUAACUCCGUGCCAGCAGCCGCGGUAAUACGGAGGGUGCGAGCGUUAAUCGGAAUUACUGGGCGUAAAGCGCGCGUAGGUGGCUUGAUAAGCCGGUUGUGAAAGCCCCGGGCUCAACCUGGGAACGGCAUCCGGAACUGUCAAGCUAGAGUGCAGGAGAGGAAGGUAGAAUUCCCGGUGUAGCGGUGAAAUGCGUAGAGAUCGGGAGGAAUACCAGUGGCGAAGGCGGCCUUCUGGACUGACACUGACACUGAGGUGCGAAAGCGUGGGUAGCAAACAGGAUUAGAUACCCUUGUAGUC
rnacentral:rRNA from 1 species